GCUCUCAUAAAUUUGUUAGUCUCUAAGGUGCCACAAGUACUCCUGUUCUUUUUGCAGAUACAGACUAACAUGACUGCCACUCUGAAACUUUUUCUGCACUAGUUAUUCUCAUGUAAAUUUGAGAACAUACUUCUUGGAAUCCUAGUAGAAACUUUCAUCUGCAGGAAGACUAAUCACUUUGCCAUCCACUUCCGAAAGAUGCACUCAGUGGCACUCCAGAAUAAUUCUGUAGGAUGUUGUGUGGAUUUGAGCUUCCUUUGCUAUAAUUUCAAUUCAAUGCAUUUUAAAUGGUCUUGGAAAUCUCUAGUUGUGUCUUCAAACACAAGCUUUGCUUCUCCCUUUCUCCAUGUUCCUGCCUCUUAAGGGAGUUUUGAUGUUCAGAAGUUUCUCAUUUUGAGAUUUCAGUAAAAAUUUGAAGUUCAUAGGUCUCAGUGACUUCAGCAGGCAUGCCAAUAUUAUCUUAAUUCAGUGACACAAUUGAUGUCCAUAUAUUAAUUUGAAAGCUACAAGAGAGCAGUUUGCAUUUGCUUUAAAUAUUCAGUGGUGAUAUGUGACCUAUAAAAGAUGGAAAGCAAAGCCUCUUUCUAACCACAACAAUGGCACAAUGCUUUACAUUAUUUAAUAGGAGUUUUUCCUCAGCUCCUGGAUCAACUGUUUCAAAAAGAUCUCUAAACACAAAUCUAAUUUAACAAAAAAUUAUCUUUCUCCUGGUGUGAAACUUGUCUGACACCCUUGAGUGUGGAUCUAAGGAGGGUAUUGCCAGAAAAACUUCAAUUGUAAACAAGAAAUUCCCUAAUUCAAAGUCGUACGUGCUUACUAAUACCCUGUGUGUCACAAAGUUGCUCCAUUUCUGGCUUCCAUGUCAUUUCCCAAAGGCUCUUAAGAAUCAUGUUAAAAUAUUACUCUUAUUUUCCUACAUUCUAAUGGAAGCACUCAGUAUAAUUCCAUUUAAAGCUACGAGGACCUAUACAUUAUUUUUUCAUGGACAAGAAAUGCUGUAAUGUUAAACUGCUAAAUCAAGUGAACUUUUGCAUAUCUCUCAUUACAUGCAAGGUAAAUAAUAAGAGUGGCAAAUAAAGUACAUGCCAUGCAUUAAAUUCUCGGAUGCUUUAGAAUGCUGUGAUGGUUGCCUUAUACAGAAAACUUUGUAUAUCAGUAUUAACUGCUGUCCCUUAAGUGCUGUGGAAAGUGCUUAAUACUAAUGUGCUUAUUUUCAAAAUUAUUUCACUAAAGCAGGGUUUCUCAAACUCCAUUUUCAUCAUGACCCCCUUCUGACAACAAAUUCAGUCCCCACACAACCCCAGGCAGGGGGACUGAAGCCUGAGCCAAACCCAACAUUUCAGCCCUGCUAUCCAGGGGCGGGGCAGGCAGAGGAGGAGGCAAAGCAAAAGCUUGAGGGCUUCAGCCCUGGGUGAUGGGACUCUGACUUCGGCUUCAGCCCUGGGCCCAAGCAAGUCUGUCAGCUCUGGCCACCCCCCAUAAAAACAGGGUUGUGACCCACUUUGGAGUCCUGAUCCACAGUUUGUGAACCACUGCAUUAAAGUAACAAGGAUUUCCUAUAGCCCAGUGCUUCUCAACCUAUUUACCAUUGUGGGCUGCAUCCAAUACUACCUGUAUGGCCCUGAGGAUGUCACAUGGGCUGCAGCUCUGUGCUGAUUGGGCCACAAGUUAAGAAACACUGCGAUAGCCAAUCUGCAGAAAAGUAGGUAGUGGACUUAGUGGCCUCUUUAUGCCACAAACGUAGUGAUGGUCCAUUUUCGUAUUUUUGCCAUAAAAACUGGUCCAGCUAUUAGUUUGGGAGUGGGAAAAGAAUUGAGGAUAGUUGCUUUGGAAAUAGACCCUUGAGUUUUUGUGAUUGUGCAAAACGCAUUUAAUCAUCUGACUGUUGUGAUUCAGUAAAAUACAUUGCUCAGAUGGCAGCUCUCUGCAAAUCUCUACCCUGUCAGAAUAGGAAGUAGAUGAUGAUAAUCACAACUAGAAUUAAUACUGGUGGUAUGUUUCUGCUAGUGUAUCUGCAGUUUAAAUGCAACAUCAUUGCUGGCCAAGUGACAAAUGUAUACUGAGGAUGUCUAUGCAAGAGAGACAGACUUUUAAUCCACAAUUUCUUGGUGCCUUGGCCAACACAGACUUGAAAUACAACAGACUCCUCUGGGUGGUUACAAUUUGUGCGCCUCACUUCUCAAACCAACCUUUUUCUUAAGAGGCGUGGAAGGAUCCACAGUCAGGAGUCCUCACCAGUCCUUGAUUGGACAGAUGGUGCCCACGUAAAGCCCAAGUGUAAAGGAGGAAAAGGUGAACUACCAGCUGGAUUUCCACUGCAACAUCCACAUUUCAUUCAGGUCAUCAGACACAGUGUAGUGUUGUUAAGAUUGAGGCUUUUUAUUCAGUCAAGUACUUAACUCAAAUUAUAUCUGGUACAAUGGUAUAUCUUGAAUGUCGGGAUACUCCACACUUCCCUGCAAGUCUAUGCACCAGAUCUUUUGAUUUCAUCAACUAUCUGGGUCCCUAGCAAAAAACUCUAGUUUUAGUAGUACCAUUUUUAAAUGGUGCUGAACUCAUCUUAAACUCACUGGUAAUGAACUCCUCUCAAGGUUUGUCUUGACUAGAAAUUAAAAGGUAAGACCCACAGCUCAUGACAGUGUAGCAGUCUCUUGUAUAAGAUCAUGUUUGAUGUAAUGGAUCAUUUUGGGCUUCCUAGAAUAGUGGAUUAAGAAAUCGGAUUUUUGAGACCAUGGGAUUCUUUUUUCCCUCUCCACUCCUUUACAGGGGGUGUAGAAAGAAGACACGUUGUGGGGGAGUUGAUAGGUUAGAUGAGGUACAUCAGUUUCAGCAGCAGAAUUUCAGCAUUUGCUACUUACUGGUAGAGAAGAAAAAUCCCACAGCACUGCCAGUACAGGUUAGUUUAAUCUGUAAGUACCUGAUGUUCCUGUUUGAAAUACUGUGUUCAAAUACCAUUUAAGUACAUGAGGAGAGAGUCUUUUGAUCACCUAAAUGUGAAUACGUCUUUGUGUAGGAUAUAUGUUGCUGUCUUCAGCAGAGAGUAAAUUUGUAGAAUUUAACUGUUGUUAAAAAAAUAAUACAAUGAUUCUAACUACACUUAGGGGUACUAUACUUUUACAAGCACCUGAUUAAUGGAAAUGGGUAUUAAAAGUUUUGAAAGCCAUUUUGGCAGUAUUGAGAAGCUUAAUGGACACAUGGACGUGGAUUCAACAGUCACUUCAGUAAUUCAUUUACUACCAAGAGAGGUCAUUUUACCAGAGUGAAUUGAUGAUACAGGAUUUUGAUAUUUGCUUAUAUUGGGGAUUGAGUGUUCAUGCCCCUAAUACUGUAGCAGUAAUUUAACCUUGACUUAAAUUUUCUGGUUACAGAUAUGUAAUAUCACCUGACUUAAUACCCCCACUCUUAUAUAUUUACUGUAGUAGGCCCUGUGCAUGGGAUUAGACUCUGAAAUCCAUCUUAGCCCCUUUUUACACUUCAAAGAGUUCCUACAAAUCUUUUCCUCAGAUUUUAGUUUACCCCAUAUUAUUUUUCCCUCAUAUUCCUCUUUACUUUCUCCUUCCAACCCUCCAGUAUUGCUUAGUGUGCUUUAUCUGCUUAAAUUUGAAGGUGACGUAAUCAUUUGGAUUUUUUUGGUUGUGCAGUGUCUGGAGCAUCUUGAGUACUUUGAAUGAAAUUAACUUCAGAAGAUAAAAUUUUGUAUGUGUACACAAAUAUACUGUGACCGUUUUUAGGUGCUCUAUAAAAAUAAACUCCAACUACAGCACAUUGAAGAUCAAGGAAAGCCAACAGAUGGCAGUAGUCAAAUAGAAACUGAAACUAUUGUCAUCUCAAUUUACCUAAUUAGAGCAACAAUCUGAAUAACAAUAUGAUAAACUGACAUUUACAGCUCCACCAGGUUGGUUUCAGAACUGAACAUCCUGCGUAGGUUUUAAGAAUUCAUUCUCAGUUAUAAUAACGUUCAUUUUUUAUGUUAUAGAAGAAAACACGCCUACUGAUUGAUAACCUUUGUAGUUUUAGCAGGACACAUCUCCCAGGGGGUCCUAUUAUAUGCUCAGGAAUUCAAACUGUAAAUGUUCACUUGCCUUCAAGUGGCGGUACACACAGUUCAAAUUUCUCGCUUGUGAUGUGCCUGUUCAGACUUGUCUUUUGGGAACCUGAUGGGUCACUUUUAUAUAGAAUUUAAAAUUAAUCUGUUGCCCUAUAACUCCUAAAUAUAUUUGGGAGUUAUGUGCACGUGUAAAAAUUACAGAUUCCUUACUGUCAAAUCAGUGACUAUAUGUAGUAAAGUUCACAAAGCUUUCCUUUUAAUUGAUUUUUUUUUAAAUAAUUAUGAAUCCAGUUGCCUUUUUGUGGCACCAAAUCUGUCAGCUUGUUAAUAACUGGUUCUUUUGGACGGCAGUAUUCUGUGAUGUCAACCUCCAGGGGUUGCUAAAAAAGAAAUAAUUUAACCUACUUCAUGGUACCCCCUUUUGAUAAUGAAAACACUCCCCUUUGCCACACCCAUCCUCUAGUGCAGGGUUCGGCAACCUUCAGCACACAGCACGCCAGGGUAAUCCGCUGGCAGGCUGCAAGACAUUUUUGUUUAUGUGGACUGUCCACAGGCAUGCCCCCCCGCUGUGUCUCCCCCUCCCCCCCCCGCAGCUUCCCGGGGCAACGGUUUGCUGUGCCCGGCCAAUGGGAGCUGUGGGAAGCGGCAGGCCGCAGGGAUGUGCUGGCCGCAGCUUCAUUCUACUCCCAUUGGCUGAGAAUGGCGAACCGCGGCGCUAGGGACCCUGUGGACAGUCAAUGUUAACAGUGUCUUGUGGCCUGCCAGUGGAUUACCCUGAUGGGCUGUGUGCUGAAGGUUGCUGACCUCUCCUAUAGUGCUUCAUAUUACAAGAAAGUACAAUGCUUCAGGAUUGCUUUAAUAUGAGCUAUGGUGGAAAUGCCACCUUUCUGAGAUUUUUUUAUGCCAAUUAAAUAGCUCUCAGCAUAAUAUGAAUAUUGUUUCAAUAAUAAAAAGCUAAGUGCAUUUUUCCUUUUGACAGCAAACUUGGAUUUUUCUGAAGGAUACUGGGAAUCUUUAGACCUGUCAUUACCACACAAGUGAUUUUAAGUUGAGCUUUUGGUCCAUUGUCAUAGCUGUCCUGUAGCAUACAAUUUGAUCUUUUACUUUACGGUGGCAAUUACUUUGAGGCCACACUAAGAGUUUCUUUCUUCGAUGAACCAACAGUCAUUCAGGUAUCGAUAUUAAAACGUUUCCCAAAUUCAUGUUCUUUGAAGAAGUGAAGUGAAUGGGACCAACUUAACUGUUUUUAGAACAUUAAAAUAUGCUCAUCAAUCUGUGAGCACGUGUACAAAACUUGUAACAGAUGGUAGAAGUAUUGGUAAGAGGGAGGGGUAAAUUGAAAGGUUGGUAAGUAUGUGGGUAACUCUGUAAAAUGCAUUUUGACUGUAGAAAAUGGUAACUGUCUGCAGUUUAAUUUUCAUAGCAUUCAGUUGACAGAGAAGUGUUGAAGACCAUAUGGAACCAAGAACAAUGAAUCAAACUUGCAUUCUUUGUGUGUUCUUAUGGGGUUCAUUUUUCUUCAGGAAUGGGAAAUUGGAUAUAUAUACUUCCGUAAUAUGUAUCUAUUUAAUUCUGACUUUCUCUAAUGAUUAAACUUAGUAAUUUAAUAAAUGAA